rnacentral:siRNA from 1 species
AUGGUAGGAGACCUUUUUUCUUGC